rnacentral:misc_RNA from 1 species
GGUAGACUCCUUGGACCGAGAGAGAAUUGGAAAGGCAAAAACAGAAUUUCAGGCCAUCAUUAACGAUCCAUUUAUGCUGAACAGUGUCAUAUUGGUCUUUGCAAAUAAGCAGGAUAUGAAAGGAGCCAUGACGCCAAUGGAAGUAUGUCAAGGACUAGGUCUCUUUGAUCUCAAACACAGAAAAUGGCAUAUACAAGGAACGUGUGCUCUCAGAGGAGAUGGACUUUACGAGGGUUUAGACUGGUUAGCUGG